rnacentral:rRNA from 1 species
GACAGAGGUGCCGAGCGUUAGGCGGAAUCACUGGGCUUAAAGCGUGUGUAGGCGGACUUCUAAGUACCUUGUGAAAUCCCACGGCUCAACCGUGGAACUGCUUGGUAUACUGGUUGUCUUGAGCCACUUAGGGGCAGUCGGAACAGACGGUGGAGCGGUGAAAUGCGUAGAUAUCGUCUGGAACGCCAAAGGUGAAAACAGACAGCUGGGAGUGUGCUGACGCUGAGACACGAAAGCCAGGGGAGCGAACGGG